AGCGAACGCUGGCGGCAGGCCUAACACAUGCAAGUCGAACGAAGCCUUCGGGCUUAGUGGCGGACGGGUGAGUAACACGUGGGAACGUACCUUUUGGUUCGGAAUAACGCAGAGAAAUUUGCGCUAAUACCGAAUGAGCCCUUCGGGGGAAAGAUUUAUCGCCGAAAGAUCGGCCCGCGUUGGAGUAGGUAGUUGGUGUGGUAAAGGCGCACCAAGCCUACGAUCCAUAGCUGGUCUGAGAGGAUGAUCAGCCACACUGGGACUGAGACACGGCCCAGACUCCUACGGGAGGCAGCAGUGGGGAAUCUUGCGCAAUGGGCGAAAGCCUGACGCAGCCAUGCCGCGUGAAUGAUGAAGGUCUUAGGAUUGUAAAAUUCUUUUACCAGGGACGAUAAUGACGGUACCUGGAGAAAAAGCUCCGGCUAACUUCGUGCCAGCCGCCGCCGUAAAAC
rnacentral:rRNA from 1 species